rnacentral:rRNA from 1 species
CCAGACUCCUACGGGAGGCAGCAGUGGGGGAUAUUGCACAAUGGGGGGAACCCUGAUGCAGCGACGCCGCGUGGGUGAAGAAGCGCCUCGGCGCGUAAAGCCCUGUCAGCAGGGAAGAAAAUGACGGUACCUGAAGAAGAAGCCCCGGCUAACUACGUGCCAGCAGCCGCGGUAAUACGUAGGGGGCAAGCGUUAUCCGGAUUUACUGGGUGUAAAGGGAGCGCAGACGGCAGUGCAAGUCUGGAGUGAAAGCCCGGGGCCCAACCCCGGAACUGCUCUGGAAACUGUGCGGCUAGAGUGCUGGAGGGGCAGGCGGAAUUCCUAGUGUAGCGGUGAAAUGCGUAGAUAUUAGGAGGAACACCAGUGGCGAAGGCGGCCUGCUGGACAGUAACUGACGUUGAGGCUCGAAAGCGUGGGGAGCAAACAGGAUUAGAUACCCGGGUAC